UCAGUCGCACCCAGGCAGACCAGCUGGCCUGUGCUUUACCUUCUCCUCGUCACACGUCAUGUGAUUAUGGCUCCAGGUAAUCUGUGCGAUUAUUAUCAACACAGAGUUGUGUGGUCUGAAUUAAAUAUAGAGGCACAGCAUCAUGGCAACGACAGCAGGGUGUGUGUACGCCCCACCAAGGACUGCACAGCAUCAGCAUGGGCAGUGAUAAAGGCACACCACCUUCUGACCAGCACACUGAAAAAAAAAGUCUCUCCAGAUGGCCGGUCCUCCUCUGGUCCAGUGUUUGGCUUCACUCUCCCUACAGAGGGCUGUGAUGGAUCUGACAGAGGCAGCAACAAUUAGCCAACCUCUUCACCAAGCCUCAGCUGCAAAAGGUUCACCCAGCUUUUGCAUCUGCUCACCUCGAGAUUCUCCAAGCAAAAUAACAUCUGAUGACCUUCCCACUCCUCUCCG